GCUCAACCGAGGAAGUGCUUCGAAAACUGGUAGACUUGAGUGCAGAAGAGGAAAGUGGAACUCCAUGUGUAGCGGUGGAAUGCGUAGAUAUAUGGAAGAACACCAGUGGCGAAGGCGGCUUUCUGGUCUGUAACUGACGCUGAGAUUCGAAAGCAUGGGUAGCAAACAGGAUUAGAUACCCUGGUAGUCCAUGCCGUAAACGAUGAGUGCUAAGUGUUGGAGGGUUUCCGCCCUUCAGUGCUGCAGCUAACGCAUUAAGCACUCCGCCUGGGGAGUACGAUCGCAAGUUUGAAACUCAAAGGAAUUGACGGGGGCCCGCACAAGCGGUGGAGCAUGUGGUUUAAUUCGAAGCAACGCGAAGAACCUUACCAGGUCUUGACAUACCAUGAAAAGCUAAGAGAUUAGUCUUUCCCUUCGGGGACAUGGAUACAGGUGGUGCAUGGUUGUCGUCAGCUCGUGUCGUGAGAUGUUGGGUUAAGUCCCGCAACGAGCGCAACCCUUAUUAUCAGUUGCCAGCAUUCAGUUGGGCACUCUGGUGAGACUGCCGGUGACAAACCGGAGGAAGGUGGGGACGACGUCAAAUCAUCAUGCCCCUUAUGACCUGGGCUACACACGUGCUACAAUGGUCGGUACAACG
rnacentral:rRNA from 1 species